UCAGGACGAACGCUGGCGGCGUGCCUAAUACAUGCAAGUCGAACGGUCUUUCUAUGGAAGCUUGCUUCCACUGAGAAGAUAGUGGCGAACGGGUGAGUAACACGUGGGUAACCUGCCCAUAAGAGGGGGGAUAACAUCCGGAAACGGGUGCUAAUACCGCAUAGUUUUCUUGAUCGCAUGAUCGGGAAAGGAAAGACGGCCUUUGUGCUGUCGCUUAUGGAUGGACCCGCGGCGUAUUAGUUAGUUGGUGAGGUAACGGCUCACCAAGACGAUGAUACGUAGCCGACCUGAGAGGGUGAUCGGCCACAUUGGGACUGAGACACGGCCCAAACUCCUACGGGAGGCAGCAGUAGGGAAUCUUCCGCAAUGGACGAAAGUCUGACGGAGCAACGCCGCGUGAGUGAAGAAAAGGUUUUCGGAUCGUAAAACUCUGUUGUCAGAGAAGAACAAGUUGGAGAGUAACUGCUCCAGCCUUGACGGUAUCUGACCAGAAAGCCACGGCUAACUACGUGCCAGCCGCAGC
rnacentral:rRNA from 1 species